rnacentral:lncRNA from 1 species
UUAUAGGUUUUAUAUGCUGUAUAGACUGAUAGGAUUAUGUGUUUAAGUUAUUUUAUAACGGUGAUGAUAUUAUUCUAAUAUUGGAGAUCUAUAUUAUUAAUAUUAGGUCUUCAGGAGAAGCGUAUUAUAUUGCGUUACGGUAAUCAACGGUUCAGGCAAGUUUUUCAAGUUCUUUUUACUUAAACUCUUUUAAGAGUGGUUUCAGACAGAUAUGCUUAUGAAUUGUACUCUGUACAUAUUGCAUGUAUUCAUCAGGUAUGAAAGGCUGAUCACCUUCAUUACCAGUCAGUUCAGAUAUAAUUGUUAUGUUCAUUUUCAAUGUUCAUUCAGCUUUGAAAUUUUGUUCAUGCUAAUUCACAACUACAUUGUGAAGGUAGCCAGCUUAUUAUUCAAACUCUUUCAAUCAUGAUAUAUCUUUACCUUGUUUUUUUUUAAACUUGAUGGGCAACUUUCAU